GACGAACGCUGGCGGUGUGCUUAACACAUGCAAGUGGUGCGACGAACCAGAGCUUGCUCUGGGGCAAAGCCGCGAACGGGUGAGUAACACGUGGGUAAUCUACCCCGAUGACCGGGACAACCCGAGGAAACUCGGGCUAAUACCGGAUGUGGUACGGAGACAUAAGUCUCUUUACUAAAGGUAGCUUCGGCUUCCGCAUUGGGAGGGGCCCGCGGCCCAUUAGCUAGUUGGUGGGGUCAAGGCCUACCAAGGCAACGAUGGGUAGCUGGUCUGAGAGGACGAUCAGCCACACUGGGACUGAGACACGGCCCAGACUCCUACGGGAGGCAGCAGUGGGGAAUCUUGCGCAAUGCGCGAAAAGCGUGACGCAGCAACACCGCGUGAGGGAAGACGGCCUUAGGGUUGUAAACCUCUUUCAGAUGGGACGAAGGUGAUGCGGUGAAUAGCCGAUGUCAUUGAC
rnacentral:rRNA from 1 species